rnacentral:rRNA from 1 species
AGACCCGAAACCCGGUGAUCUAGCCAUGGGCAGGUUGAAGGUUGGGUAACACUAACUGGAGGACCGAACCGACUAAUGUUGAAAAAUUAGCGGAUGACCUGUGGCUGGGGGUGAAAGGCCAAUCAAACCGGGAGAUAGCUGGUUCUCCCCGAAAGCUAUUUAGGUAGCGCCUCGUGAAUUCAUCUCCGGGGGUAGAGCACUGUUUCGGCUAGGGGGCCAUCCCGGCUUACCAACCCGAUGCAAACUGCGAAUACCGGAGAAUGUUAUCACGGGAGACACACGGCGGGUGCUAACGUCCGUCGUGAAGAGGGAAACAACCCAGACCGCCAGCUAAGGUCCCAAAGUCAUGGUUAAGUGGGAAACGAUGUGGGAAGGCCCAGACAGCCAGGAUGUUGGCUUAGAAGCAGCCAUCAUUUAAAGAAAGCGUAAUAGCUCACUGGUCGAGUCGGCCUGCGCGGAAGAUGUAACGGGGCUAAACCAUGCACCGAAGCUGCGGCAGCGAACGUAUCACCCAAGACAACUUUACGGAGUUGACGAUUGACGGAGCGAAGCGACGUCAAAGCGUUCAUUAAAGUCGAGUUGGCUUAGGGAUACGUUCGUUGGGUAGGGGAGCGUUCUGUAAGCCUGUGAAGGUGUGUCGUGAGGCAUGCUGGAGGUAUCAGAAGUGCGAAUGCUGACAUAAGUAACGAUAAAGCGGGUGAAAAGCCCGCUCGCCGGAAGACCAAGGGUUCCUGUCCAACGUUAAUCGGGGCAGGGUGAGUCGACCCCUAAGGCGAGGCCGAAAGGCGUAGUCGAUGGGAAACGGGUUAAUAUUCCCGUACUUGGUGUUACUGCGAAGGGGGGACGGAGAAGGCUAUGUUGGCCGGGCGACGGUUGUCCCGGUUUAAGCGUGUAGGUGUGUGUUCCAGGUAAAUCCGGUUCACUUUAACACUGAGGCGUGACGACGAGGCACUACGGUGCUGAAGCAACAAAUGCCCUGCUUCCAGGAAAAGCCUCUAAGCAUCAGGUAACACGAAAUCGUACCCCAAACCGACACAGG